GUUGUGGCUCAGCAGUAGAGCGCUUGCCUAGCAUGUGUAAAGCCCUGGGUUCAAUUCUCAGCACCACA
rnacentral:tRNA from 1 species